rnacentral:rRNA from 1 species
CCGACACGACCGUACCGCAAACCGACACUGGUGCGCGAGAUGAGUAUUCUAAGGCGCUUGAGAGAACUCAGGAGAAGGAACUCGGCAAAUUGACACCGUAACUUCGGAAGAAGGUGUGCCUUUAGUAGGUGAAGUCCCUCGCGGAUGGAGCCCAAUGAGGUUGCAAAAAAUCGGUGGCUGCGACUGUUUAUUAAAAACACAGCACUCUGCAAACACGAAAGUGGACGUAUAGGGUGUGACGCCUGCCCGGUGCUGGAAGAUUAAAUGAUGGGGUGCAAGCUCUUGAUUGAAGUCCCAGUAAACGGCGGCCGUAACAAUAACGGUCCUAAGGUAGCGAAAUUCCUUGUCGGGUAAGUUCCGACCUGCAUGAAUGGCGUAACGAUGGCCACACUGUCUCCUCCUGAGACUCAGCGAAGUUGAAAUGUUUGUGAUGAUGCAAUCUCCCCGCGGAAAGACGGAAAGACCCCAUGAACCUUUACUGUAGCUUUGUAUUGGACUUUGAACAGAUCUGUGUAGGAUAGGUGGGAGGCUUUGAAGCAGGGUCGCUAGAUCUUGUGGAGCCAACGUUGAAAUACCACCCUGGUGUGUUUGAGGUUCUAACCUAGGCCCGUAAUCCGGGUUGGGGACAGUGCAUGGUAGGCAGUUUGACUGGGGCGGUCUCCUCCCAAAGUGUAACGGAGGAGUUCGAAGGUACGCUAGUUACGGUCGGACAUCGUGACGAUAGUGCAAUGGCAUAAGCGUGCUUAACUGCGAGACUGACAAGUCGAGCAGAUGCGAAAGCAGGACAUAGUGAUCCGGUGGUUCUGUAUGGAAGGGCCAUCGCUCAACGGAUAAAAGGUACUCUGGGGAUAACAGGCUGAUACCGCCCAAGAGUUCAUAUCGACGGCGGUGUUUGGCACCUCGAUGUCGGCUCAUCUCAUCCUGGGGCUGUAGCCGGUCCCAAGGGUAUGGCUGUUCGCCAUUUAAAGAGGUACGUGAGCUGGGUUUAAAACGUCGUGAGACAGUUUGGUCCCUAUCUUCCGUGGGCGCUGCAGAUUUGAGGAAGCCUGCUCCUAGUACGAGAGGACCGGAGUGGACGCACCUCUGGUGUAUCGGUUGUCACGCCAGUGGCAUUGCCGAGUAGCUAUGUGCGGAAGAGAUAACCGCUGAAAGCAUCUAAGCGGGAAACUCGUUUCAAGAUGAGAUCUGCCGGGGCCUUGAGCCCCCUGAAGAGUCGUUCAAGACCAGGACGUUGAUAGGUCGGGUGUGGAAGCGCAGUAAUGCGUUAAGCUAACCGAUACUAAUUGCUCGUGCGGCUUGACCA